CUUCCUUCCUCCCGUCUCCCGGAGUGUACACACCUGCACUCUUGAGGCUGCUGGCGAGAAGAACUGUGUCCCAAGCCCUCCACCAUGGCCGCCGCUCCGAAAGUUUGCGUCCGUCGCGCGAAGCUCAUCUUCCUGAUGGAGAACGCAGGCAAGGACGUCUUGACCUUCGUGUUGAAGCGCGGCGCGCUGAACGCCCCCGCCACGCCGCCAGGCCAGUCCCUCAUUGACUACCUUGACAACCUCCCUCAAGGCUCGACAGCCAACUAUGGCAGGAUGAGUAACAAACAAAAGAAAGCAGCACUGAACCACAGUUCAGUGCUGCUUAUCCUCUGACGUGACUACUUUAUUCAUUAUUUUUU